rnacentral:tRNA from 1 species
CCCGCGAAGGCAUCGGGCCGCCCUCGCAUGGCGGAGGUCACGAGUUCGAGUCUCGUCGGGUCCA